GGGUUGUGAGGUUAAGCGACUAAGCGUACACGGUGGAUGCCCUGGCAGUCAGAGGCGAUGAAGGGCGUACUAAUCUGCGAUAAGCGCCGGUAAGGUGAUAUGAACCGUUAUAACCGGCGAUACCCGAAUGGGGAAACCCAGUGUGAUUCGUCACACUAUCAUUAACUGAAUCCAUAGGUUAAUGAGGCGAACCGGGGGAACUGAAACAUCUAAGUACCCCGAGGAAAAGAAAUCAACCGAGAUUCCCCCAGUAGCGGCGAGCGAACGGGGAGGAGCCCAGAGCCUGAAUCAGCAUGUGUGUUAGUGGAAGCGUCUGGAAAGGCGCGCGAUACAGGGUGACAGCCCCGUACACAAAAGCGCAUGUGCUGUGAGCUCGAUGAGUAGGGCGGGACACGUGGUAUCCUGUCUGAAUAUGGGGGGACCAUCCUCCAAGGCUAAAUACUCCUGACUGACCGAUAGUGAACCAGUACCGUGAGGGAAAGGCGAAAAGAACCCCGGCGAGGGGAGUGAAAAAGAACCUGAAACCGUGUACGUACAAGCAGUGGGAGCACCCUUUGGGUGUGACUGCGUACCUUUUGUAUAAUGGGUCAGCGACUUAUAUUCUGUAGCAAGGUUAACCGAAUAGGGGAGCCGGAGGGAAACCGAGUCUUAACCGGGCGUUAAGUUGCAGGGUAUAGACCCGAAACCCGGUGAUCUAGCCAUGGGCAGGUUGAAGGUUGGGUAACACUAACUGGAGGACCGAACCGACUAAUGUUGAAAAAUUAGCGGAUGACCUGUGGCUGGGGGUGAAAGGCCAAUCAAACCGGGAGAUAGCUGGUUCUCCCCGAAAGCUAUUUAGGUAGCGCCUCGUGAAUUCAUCUCCGGGGGUAGAGCACUGUUUCGGCUAGGGGGCCAUCCCGGCUUACCAACCCGAUGCAAACUGCGAAUACCGGAGAAUGUUAUCACGGGAGACACACGGCGGGUGCUAACGUCCGUCGUGAAGAGGGAAACAACCCAGACCGCCAGCUAAGGUCCCAAAGUCAUGGUUAAGUGGGAAACGAUGUGGGAAGGCCCAGACAGCCAGGAUGUUGGCUUAGAAGCAGCCAUCAUUUAAAGAAAGCGUAAUAGCUCACUGGUCGAGUCGGCCUGCGCGGAAGAUGUAACGGGGCUAAACCAUG
rnacentral:rRNA from 4 species